GAUGAACGCUGGCGGCGUGCUUAACACAUGCAAGUCGAACGAAGCAUUUAGAACAGAUUACUUCGGUUUGAAGUUCUUUAUGACUGAGUGGCGGACGGGUGAGUAAUGCGUGGGUAACCUGCCUUGUACUGGGGGAUAGCAGCUGGAAACGGCUGGUAAUACCGCAUAAGCGCACAAUGUUGCAUGACAUGGUGUGAAAAACUCCGGUGGUAUAAGAUGGACCCGCGUCUGAUUAGCUAGUUGGUGAGAUAACAGCCCACCAAGGCGACGAUCAGUAGCCGACCUGAGAGGGUGACCGGCCACAUUGGGACUGAGACACGGCCCAGACUCCUACGGGAGGCAGCAGUGGGGAAUAUUGCACAAUGGAGGAAACUCUGAUGCAGCGACGCCGCGUGAGUGAAGAAGUAAUUCGUUAUGUAAAGCUCUAUCAGCAGGGAAGAUAGUGACGGUACCUGACUAAGAAGCUCCGGCUAAAUACGUG
rnacentral:rRNA from 1 species